UCCCUGAUAGUUCAGCUGGUAAAGAAUCCGCCUGCAAUUCAGGAGACCCAGGUUCAAUCCCUGGUUUGGGAA
rfam:TPA: Bos taurus chromosome 4, whole genome shotgun sequence.